rnacentral:rRNA from 1 species
UACGGAGGGUGCGAGCGUUAUCCGGAAUCACUGGGUUUAAAGGGUGCGUAGGCGGGAGAUUAAGUCAGUGGUGAAAGCCUGUCGCUUAACGAUAGAAUUGCCAUUGAUACUGAUUUUCUUGAAUUGGGUUGAGGUUAGCGGAAUGUGACAUGUAGCGGUGAAAUGCAUAGAUAUGUCAUGGAACACCAAUUGCGAAGGCAGCUAGCUGGGCCUUGAUUGACGCUGAGGCACGAAAGCGUGGGUAGCGAACAGG